GAGGGUGACCAGUGCGUGGGGGGUGGGGGCGAGCAGCUGGGAGGUGGGGCCCAGUGGCCUGGCCAUGGCCUGCCGCCUCCCUCCCCGGAAAAGUCCCUCCUGGCUGGGGGUUUCUGGCCCCGAGCUGGCUGCUGCCUUUCUGGAAAUGCUGUCAGGUGCUGCCGAGCAAGACGGAAACCAGCUGCCUUCAGAAGCAGCAGGAGACCUUCAAAGUCUUACAGAAAAGGGAGAGCAGGCCAGUGCCUGCCUUGGUGGGCAGCAGGCCUGUCACGAGAAUCCAGCAAGAAAAAGAGUGUGCGUGCGUGCGUGGGUAUGUGUGCGCGCAGACGGGGACGUCCAGAGUAAACCGUGGGAGGCAUUUUCACGCUGACAGAAGCACUGGCAAGGACUUGGAGACUGGCGUCGAUGGUUCCCCGUGGGCCCUGCAGGCAGUGCUUUCCAAGUUGGGCGACUCCGGCUCGGCUGCCGGCGGUUAAUGGGCCGCUUGAAGCUUCAGACUUCCAGGUGCUGCCACGAGGAGGAGAAAGCCCCUUACUUCUGAGAGCUCGCUCGUUCCUGGGCUUGAAUGAAACACACUGAAUCUGCAAGUGGGACUUGGGAUGUCCCCACGCAGGGCACUGGGCCUCAGAUGAAGUGAUGAUGGAGUGAGUGGGAUGCCUGGGUCUGUCAGAGACUGGAAGGUCCUGCUGUUGGAUUCCAGGAAUGUGGUGUCGAUAGGGGAAUUCCAGCUCCAAGUAAUGAUUUACGCAGCGUGUCCUUAGCACUUCCACGCGCAGACUCUUCUAACGAGGUCACAUAGCUUCCCAUGUCAGCCCUGUUUUCUGGCUUAGUCUAUCAGGUAUGUUGUUGUUGGGUGCUGUCGAGUCCCAUCCAGCUCACAGCGACCCCGUGUCAGAGCACAACUGCCCCACAGGGUUUCCUAGGCUGUAUUCUUUGUGGAAGCA